UACAGAGGUCUCAAGCGUUGUUCGGAUUCAUUGGGCGUAAAGGGUGCGUAGGCGGCCUGUUAAGUCGAACGUGAAAUCCCCGGGCUCAACCCGGGAACUGCGUCCGAUACUGGCAGGCUUGAAUCCGGGAGAGGGAUGCGGAAUUCCAGGUGUAGCGGUGAAAUGCGUAGAUAUCUGGAGGAACACCGGUGGCGAAGGCGGCAUCCUGGACCGGCAUUGACGCUGAGGCGCGAAAGCCAGGGGAGCAAACGGG
rnacentral:rRNA from 1 species